rnacentral:rRNA from 1 species
GAUGAACGCUGGCGGCGUGCCUAAUACAUGCAAGUCGAGCGAAUGGAUUAAGAGCUUGCUCUUAUGAAGUUAGCGGCGGACGGGUGAGUAACACGUGGGUAACCUGCCCAUAAGACUGGGAUAACUCCGGGAAACCGGGGCUAAUACCGGAUAACAUUUUGAACCGCAUGGUUCGAAAUUGAAAGGCGGCUUCGGCUGUCACUUAUGGAUGGACCCGCGUCGCAUUAGCUAGUUGGUGAGGUAACGGCUCACCAAGGCAACGAUGCGUAACCGACAGGAGAGGGUGAUCGGCCAACUUGGGACUGGGACACGGCCCAGACUCCUACGGGAGGCAGCAGUAGGGAAUCUUCCGCAAUGGACGAAAGUCUGACGGAGCAACGCCGCGUGAGUGAUGAAGGCUUUCGGGUCGUAAAACUCUGUUGUUAGGGAAGAACAGGUGCUAGUUGAAUAAGCUGGCACCUUGACGGUACCUAACCAGAAAGCCACGGCUAACUACGUGCCAGCCGCCGCGGUAA